AUGCAGUCGACGAGGCAGCGGCCUUCGGGCCGUUGUCGAGUGGCGAACGGUUGAGUAACACGUGAGGAACCUGCCCCGGAGACCGGGAUAACCAGGGGAAACUCUGGCUAAUACCGGAUGCCCCCGGAUGGUCGCAUGGCCAACCGAGGAAACGCUCCGGUGCUCCGGGAGGGCCUCGCGGCCUAUCAGCUUGUUGGUGGGGUAAUGGCCUACCAAGGCAUCGACGGGUAGCUGGUCUGAGAGGACGAUCAGCCACACUGGGACUGAGACACGGCCCAGACUCCUACGGGAGGCAGCAGUGGGGAAUAUUGCGCAAUGGGCGAAAGCCUGACGCAGCAACGCCGCGUGGGGGAUGACGGCCUUCGGGUUGUAAACCCCUUUCAGCAGGGACGAAAAUGACGGUACCUGCAGAAGAAGCCCCGGCCAACUACGUGCCAGCAGCCGCGGUAACACGUAGGGGGCAAGCGUUGUCCGGAUUUAUUGGGCGUAAAGAGCUCGUAGGCGGUUGCGUAAGUCGGAUGUGAAAACUCAGGGCUCAACCCGGAGACGCCAUCCGAUACUGCGCUGACUAGAGUCCGGUAGAGGAGCAUGGAAUUCCUGGUGUAGCGGUGAAAUGCGCAGAUAUCAGGAGGAACACCAGUGGCGAAGCGGUGCUCUGGGCCGGUACUGACGCUGAGAGCGAAAGCGUGGGUAGCGAACAGGAUUAGAUACCCUGGUAGUCCACGCCGUAAACGUUGGGCACUAGUGUGGGGCUCCUACGGGUCCGUGCCGUAGCUAACGCAUUAAGUG
rnacentral:rRNA from 1 species